UGUUUUCACGUACCUUAAUUUGUUUGAUACAUAUAUAAGUAGUAUUUUAUGCUAUGGCAGUGAGAUAUGGGGCUUUCAUAAAGCUCCGAAUAUUGAAAAAGUUCAGUUAGAUUUUUGCAAAAAUAUUUUAGGUGUCAAACAAUGUACAACGAAUGUAAUGGUGUAUUAUGAACUUGGUAGAUAUCCUUUGAUAUAUUCUAGAUUGUAUAAUAUUAUAAGAUACUGGUUUAAACUUUUAUCAACUAAUAAUUGUAUUCUUGAAAAUUGUUACAAAGAGCAGGUACGGAAUCAAUGUAAUAACAGAAAUAGUUGGAUUUAUCAACUGAAGUAUUUAUUGUUUAAUUUGGGUCUGAAUGACUUCUGGUAUAACCAAGAUAAUUUAGUUGUAAAUGACACUCUUAAGUAUUUUUGUCAAAACUAGAAUAUUUGAUCAAGCUUAUCAAUAUUUGAAUCAAUUAUUGGAUGGCUCGCCAAAGUGUUUUUUAUAUAAAUACUGUGUAAAUAAUGUUUGUUUACAAUUUUACCUUACUAAACAUGUGAAUUUUAGAGUGUAUCUAACUAGAAUAAGAUUGUCUUCACAUAACUUAUUUGUUGAAACAGGACGAUAUCACGGGGUUAAUAGAUCAGAAAGAAAAUGCACUCUCUGUACUUUAAAUACGAUAGAAGACGAGUUUCAUUUUAUUUUACAGUGUGAUUGUUAUAAUGAAAUUAGGAGGCAGUAUAUUAAGCCAUAUUAUUAUAAGCGUCCAUCGUCAUUUAAACUUAUACAGUUGUUGGGCACAGAAAAUGUAAAAGACAUAUGUAACCUUUGUAAAUAUCUUUUCCAUGCAUUUAAACGAAGAACAGACAUGUUAUAAGUUACCAAUACUUAAUAUAGA
rnacentral:lncRNA from 1 species